AGGAAGGUCAUCUGCGUAAUGCGGCAAGUCAGAGGAUAGAUGCUCAGAGGGCUGCAAUCCCUGAGUCUGAUACUGAUUCUACAGGAACUUCUCAACAUGUAGAUGAGGCUGCUCGACCCAGAACGUUGGCUGAUUAGAACCGUCCAGAUCAGUUCAAUGCCAACAGAUCAGCUAUUCGCCCUCCUUCUAUCCAUAGAGGCGAUUUCGAGUAAUUUGAGUGAUAUCAGACCCCAUUAUUCUUCUCUAAUGGAAUGAUCACACAUCGUUGGAAGUGAUGGGUAGGAGUGCCUCCUAUGACCCCAUUAUUCGCCUACAAUUUGC
rnacentral:lncRNA from 1 species